UUUCUACUCCCUCCGUCCGAAAAUACUUGUCAUCAAAAUGGAUAAAAAGAAAUGUAUCUAAAACUAAAAUACGUCUAGAUACAUUUCCUUUUAUCCAUUUUGAUGACAAGUAUUUCUGGACGGAGGGAGUAUUUG
rnacentral:pre_miRNA from 1 species